rnacentral:rRNA from 1 species
UGCAAGUCGAACGGACGCUUUGGGAAACUGGAGCGUCAGUGGCAAACGGGUGAGUAACACGUGGGUGACCUGCCUCAGAGUGGGGAACAACAGACCGAAAGGUUUGCUAAUACCGCAUACGCUCGAUGAUUCAUUUGAUCGAGUAAAGGUGCAAAUCGCUUUGAGAGGGGCCCGCGGCCCAUCAGGUAGUUGGUGAGGUAAAAGCCCACCAAGCCGAUGACGGGUAGCUGUUCUGAGAGGAAGAUCAGCCACAAUGGAACUGAGAUACGGUCCAUACUCCUACGGGAGGCAGCAGUGAGGAAUAUUGCGCAAUGGAGGAAACUCUGACGCAGCGACGCCGCGUGGGUGACGAAGGCCUUCGGGUCGUAAAACCCUUUUAGCAGGGACGAGUGAGGACGGUACCUGCUGAAUAAGUCUCGGCUAACUACGUGCCAGCAGCCGCGGUAAAACGUAGGAGGCGAGCGUUAUCCGGAUUCACUGGGCGUAAAGCGUGCGUAGGCGGUCGGGUAAGUCGGAUGUUAAAGCCCCUGGCUCAACUGGGGGAGGUCAUUCGAUACUGCUCGGCUUGAGGAUGAGAGAGGAGAGCGGAGUUCCCGGUGUAGCGGUGGAAUGCGUAGAGAUCGGGAGGAACACCAGCGGCGAAAGCGGCUCUCUGGCUCAUAUCUGACGCUGAGUGCACGACAGCGUGGGGAGCAAACGGGAUUAGAUACCCCGGUAGUCCACGCUAUAAACGAUGAGGGCUGGGUGUUGGUUUCAUUUGAUCAGUGCAGCAAACGCGUUAACCCUCCGCCUGGGGACUACGAACGCAAGUUUAAAACUCAAGGAAUAGACGGGGGCCCGCACAAGCAGCGGA